UACGUAGGGGGCAAGCGUUGUCCGGAAUCAUUGGGCGUAAAGCGCGUGUAGGCGGCCAGAUAAGUCCGCUGUGAAAUCUCGAGGCUCAACUUCGAGCUGUCGGUGGAAACUGUCUGGCUAGAGUCCGGAAGAGGAGAAUGGAAUUCCUGGUGUAGCGGUGAAGUGCGCAGAUAUCAGGAAGAACACCCGUGGCGAAGGCGGUUCUCUGGGACGGUACUGACGCUGAGACGCGAAAGCGUGGGGAGCGAACAGG
rnacentral:rRNA from 1 species